rnacentral:sRNA from 2 species
UGUAUCUGAGGUCUGACGAGGAUGAGAACCUCCGGGGGCAAGAGGUUCGACCCGAGCGCAGCGAGAGAACGUUGCUUCAGCAACGGCCCGCAGGGCGAGCCACGCAGUGGCGAGUCAUCCUCUAUCACCGACCA